rnacentral:rRNA from 1 species
GACGAACGCUGGCGGCGUGCUUAACACAUGCAAGUCGAACGGAAAGGCCCUGCUUUUGUUGGGUGCUCGAGUGGCGAACGGGUGAGUAACACGUGAGUAACCUGCCCUUGACUUUGGGAUAACUUCAGGAAACUGGGGCUAAUACCGGAUAGGAGCUCCUGCUGCAUGGUGGGGGUUGGAAAGUUUCGGCGGUUGGGGAUGGACUCGCGGCUUAUCAGCUUGUUGGUGGGGUAGUGGCUUACCAAGGCUUUGACGGGUAGCCGGCCUGAGAGGGUGACCGGCAACAUUGGGACGGAGAUACGGCCCAGCCUCCUACGGGAGGAAGCAGUGGGGAAUAUUGCACAAUGGGCGGAAGCCUGAUGCAGCAACGCCGCGUGCGGGAUGACGGCCUUCGGGUUGUAAACCGUUUUCGCAUGUGACGAGGCGUGAGUGACGGUAAUGGGUAAAGAAGCACCGGCUAACUACGUG